GAAUUUUCCAGAUAGAUGUUUACAGUAGCUGCGAAGACUUAUAGUUUUAUCCUUUUCUUUCCAAUAUUUACCCUUUGUCUCUUUUUCCUCUUUUUUUUGCCUCAUCUAUAAUCCCUAGGAUAUAGAAUGGUAAUAGUGGGCAUAUUUGAUUUGUUUCUAUUUUUUCACUCAUUCACCAUUGAUUUAACAUUAGCUGUGUGGCAGAGGUUGCUCUAGGUCCUGGAAAUACAGAUGUGAACAAGAUGGACAAAGUCUGUCAGAAGCUUUGAGGAGAAACAAGGAUGGGGAGAGUGAAAGUGUAUAGUGGGGAAACUGGAUGCAGCUGUACCCUGGAGAAUAUGAGGUCUUCCUGGAAGAAAUCAUGCCAAUGAUACCCUGCAUCUUUUAUAUGAAAUCUGAUCUUUCCUAUUUGGUUUCUGAUAAAUACUCUAUCAAAGGCAGGUGGGUGUCUUGCAAAACUGACUGAAGAUUUAAGAUUGAGGAAGGCUAUGUCACAGUAUCUCCCAGCAGAUAGCCCCAAGGAAAUGUUUCUAUUCUGGAUGAAUCCUUUGACAGAUGUACAUGUUCUGAAUAUCCUCUCCCACUCCAUGGCUUGCAUUUUCAGUCUCCUGAUGGUGCUUUCUGAUGGAUGGAAAGUCUUCACUUCAAUGUAGUCCAACUUGCCAAUUAUAUUCUUUAUGGUUGAAGGUUUUCUGUAUAUCAUUCAAGCCAU